UGGCAAUUGUCCUUUUGUCUCAAAGGUUCAGUGACAAAUAUACCCUCCACAAGCUGACCUUCAUCUAUGGGAGAGCAAAGCAAAAGUAGGAAUCCAAGUUCACCAACUCCAUUGCUAAGUUUCUAGCAAACAGCAGGAUGCCAGUUAUGGAUGGAUGCACAUGAGCAUAAAGUACCCAGGCUCUAUGCCAUUCUCACCACCACCCCGCCCCCAACUAAAACAGCCAGUUCUAAAAGCAGCCACCUUUCUGCUGGAUCAUUCUGAAUUACAGGGUAAGGGGGAAAGAAACAGAGAACUUUAAAUGGAUAGAGUAAGAAAUGUUAAAAAUGUCCAUUCUGGCCUGACAUUUUAG